UGGGCGAAAGCCUGAUGGAGCAACGCCGCGUGAGUGAAGAAGGUUUUCGGAUCGUAAAACUCUGUUGUAAGGGAAGAACAAGUACAGUAGUAACUGGCUGUACCUUGACGGUACCUUAUUAGAAAGCCACGGCUAACUACGUGCCAGCAGCCGCGGUGAUACUUACGUGGCAACCGUUGUCCGGAAUUAUUGGGCGUAAAGCGCGCGCACGCGGUCCUUUAAUUCUGAUGUGAAAGCCCACGGCUCAUCCCUGGAGGGUCAUCUGAAACUGGUAGACUUGAGUGCAAAAGAGGAAAGUGCACUUCCACGUGUAACUCUGAAAUGACUGCAGGUAUGAACGAGGAACCUUA
rnacentral:rRNA from 1 species